rnacentral:ncRNA from 1 species
AUAAAACUGCCACCGGGUAGAAAUGCUGAAAGCAUUUGUUCACACAUCGUUAGGUCUUAGAAGAUGUGUGUGCAGAUGCUUUAUUUUU